CAGUCGCGCGGGAAUACAGAGGGUGCGAGCGUUAAUCGGAUUUACUGGGCGUAAAGCGUGCGUAGGCGGCUAAUUGAGUCGGAUGUGAAAUCCCCGAGCUUAACUUGGGAAUUGCAUUCGAUACUGGUUAGCUAGAGUGUGGGAGAGGAUGGUAGAAUUCCAGGUGUAGCGGUGAAAUGCAUAGAGAUCUGGAGGAAUACCGAUGGCGAAGGCAGCCAUCUGGCCUAACACUGACGCUGAGGUACGAAAGCAUGGGGAGCAAACAGGAUUAGAUACCCCGGUAGUCCCUGUCUCUUAUACA
rnacentral:rRNA from 1 species